GGGGGGGGGGCCUGGAGGAGGGUCUUUAUGCGGCCGCCCUGGGGGGCCGGGGCCUCAGCAGUGCGCUAGGCCUCUGGGGCUGCGCUUCUCACAGCUGUCGCUGGGGACACCGGGCCUCCUGUCUGGUGGCCUCCGCGCAGGCCCGGACACAGCCGGAAAGAAGCGCCAGUCCCCUCCACGCCACAGACGCGCUCCAGAAUGGAGACGAAGCGCGCGGACGGCGGACGGACCGGACGGCUCCUCCCCAGCCAGGCUGCUCCGCCAGCUCCGGACGGCUCCUCCCCAGCCAGGCUGCUCCGCCAGCUCCGGGAGGGCGCUCACCGGCUGCUGUCAGCACAGGGGCCCUUGGGGAGGGUGCCUGGCCGCUCCCGUGCUCUCCUCCCGGGCACACGGCGCCGUGUGGAGGAGCGCCGGGCUUUGCUCGCUCGGCCCAGACUCCUCUCCAGCCGGCGCUCGGCCGCCGAGGUGCACAGGCUGGGCUGGCUCUGCCUCUCGCCCCGCUGGCCGGAGCAGGGUGGGGGUCGGAACCUGGGCCGGAAGCAAAGUCCGCUGCUGCGCCUUUUCCUUGCGGGGAGGCCCGGGUGGCCCCGAGGGCUCCCCUCCUGAGGGGCUCCCCGCCACCUCAAGCUCCUCGCUGAGCGCAGCAGCCACUCAGGCAGUGCUGGCCGGCCGAGCGGGCCCUGUGAGAGCAGCGCGUGUGACACCUUGUCGGUGUCGGCUCCUGGAUCUGUGUAAUUAGCACGGCUGCUCUGGCCGGGGCGAUGCUGUCUGUGGCGGUCAGAGCAGGAAGACAGCUCCCUGUCUGCAGACUGGAUCGGGCCAUCGCACGGUCUCAGACUCCUCUCCUGGCUUAGGGACCAGGGUGCCGACCACAGCCCCGUGGAUAGGAGGAGAACUGCAGCGGCCAGGUGAGUCCACUGCACAGGCCCCGGCCGGCUCCCGGAAUCUGGUCCUCUGCUGCCGGCCACCCUGUGGUCCCAGGGACACACGCUGGCCCUGCCCUGAGUACCUGGGGCUGUGUGGUGGGGACAAGCGUCUGGGCACGGUGUGGAUGGGGCUGGUGGUGAGGCUGUGGGCCCUGUGUCCACCUUCUGGGUGCCAGGCAGUUGGGGUCCCGCCUGCUCACUGCCCACCCCGCAGCCCGAGUCGGCUUCAGUCCACGCGGCCGUUGUGUGCCGAGCAGCUACGACAAGACAGUGCUUCAUCCUGAGGGCUCAGAGACCAAAGUGAACGCAGGGUCCUCUGCUGGGGACACCGGGGACACAGGGUGCUGCCACACAGAGCCAGGCCCAGGGAGACACACAGGCCCGGGCCCCUCCCUGGUGUGCAGCGCGAAGGCUCCCUCGCAGCCUGUCCCUGAGCUCUGGGCCGCACCCUGCCUGUGUGGGGCAGCCGGACUGGGCGGGGGCCCUUCUGCCUCCUGUGCCAGAGUCGUCUCCGAGGGCUGAGGUAGCGUCUAAAGCUGCUCCGGGAAGGAGGCCCCGUACAGCUGGGCACUGUCCCAGACUCCGGCUCCAGGAGGGCCCCAUGGACCCCGCAAGGGGGCUGCCAAGGGGCAGCGGAGGCUGCGGUGUCCCCAGCUUCGCUCCACCCGGCCCCGCGCUGGCCCUGCUCAUGCGCCUGUCAUGGCGUGGGAGAGGCUGGGGACUCGGGCUCCAGCGAGACACAGCAGGCAGAGCCCCGAGUGGGCCCGGAGCACUGUCCAUGUCCAGCUGGGCAGGAGCAGGGAGGGGGCUGCUGACCCUGCCCAGACCUCUGUCACCAGCUUCCCUCGGUGAAGAGGCUUCCUGCCACCACAUAAUGCCAGAGCAGGUCCACACGGUCCCCAGGCUGGGCGGCACUGGGGACAGGGAGGAGGCGCAAGCCCUGUGCAGCCCCGCCUCUGUCCUUGGUGGGAGGGGAGGGCUCGGCCCAGGGCCAGGAGCAGCUCCGAGGACAGAUGCAGCUGGGAGCCAGGGGUUCCCAGAGCCAGAGGCAGCCUCACGGUGCCUCCCACGAUCCUGACACACGGCCCCUGCAACACUCCAGUUCCAAACCACAGCUGCCCAGAGGAGGUGGCGGCUUCCUUGGCCCCAGGGCACAACACCCACUCUGCUCCUCAGCAGCCCCUGCGAACAGCAAACGGUGCCCAGAGCCGUCCUGCCAUGGGGGAGGCCGCUCUGUGCGAAUCUACUGCGCUCACCUCUCUAGGGGUGAAGAAUGCACUCCCCAGGGAGGGGGCUGCUCUGAAAGGGCCCCCUCUGCCUAGAGGGCCGGGCCCCAGGAGGCUGGGCUGCACUUCUGGGAUCCCUCGCACCUUGGGUCACCUCCAUUCCAGGCGCCAAACCCCGCUGGGUGACAACUGUCCUUCUAAAGUCCCAGGGUGCUCAUUGGGGGCCAUCCCUGCGGAAUGGGGCUGGCCCGGGAGAUCUGCCCACCAGUUAGCCCUCACGAUCCCUCCAUGCAUGGCCUUGGUCCGGGAUGAGGAUGGACAGGAUGCAGCGUGCCCCAGAAGGACUCUGCUCCUGCGGCCCCAGCCUGGCACUCGCCGCUGCCUGGCUUCUCACUCCCGCACUGGGCAGCAGUUCGGGCGGCCAGGCCUGCAGCUGUGUGUGACGGCCCAGUCUCUGUCUGGCCUCCCGCUCUCUGGGCUCACUGCCCACUGCCCUAUGCCGGGUGCUGCUGGGCCAGGACCUGGCGGCCGCGCCCCAGGACAGGGCUGGAGCAGAGGAGGGAGCCACAUGUGUGUGACACGGGGCUCACGGUCACCAGCACCAUUCCGCAGGGUGCAGGGCUGCAGGGCUGGGACACAGUGGCCUUCCUAGAACUGUCCCGGGGCCACCACGGGGCUGUUUCCCAGGAGUCAACACGGCCCUCAGUAGCCAGCCUGUCGGGAGGCGUGCACAACACGGGGUGUGGGUGUGGCUGCGUGCCUGGGUUCUGGGGGCAUUUGUGUGGUGUGGAUGUGGGUGGGUGUCUGGUGUGUAUGUGCGGUGUGGUGCAUGUGUCUGUAGGGCUGUGGGUGUGCGUAUGGGACACGCAUGGUAUAUGUGGAGUGUGGUUUUGUAGAGGUGUGCAUAUGUAUGUGGCAUGUAGUGUGGAGUGUGUGAGUUGCAUGCAAAGUGUGUUGUGUCUAUGGGAGUGGUACAUGCAUAUGUACACAUGUGUAUGAGUGUGGUACAUGGAAAGUGUGUUGUGUGUGUGGCGAAGCCCAACCGACCUCCAUUGCUGCUUGACAAAGUUCCAGCUGGGGGAAGGAAAGGGUGGAACACAUCGAACCCUCAUAUUUUUUUUUUUCUUGCCAUAAUGUUUAUAAUUGUUACUCUGGUCACAGGAGGCAUUGUGUUUGUGACUAACAACAAACUCUCCAUGAGGCAAAUUGGCAAUGAUAUAUUGAAAUUUGAUCUGGCUCAAAAGUCCCAAAUUCCAGUUUCUCUUAGUUCUAUUGCCACAUCCACUCCUAAAGAAACCUUUCCUAAAACCCCCUCUGUUUUCCCACUACUAUAACUCCCCCUCUUAUUGUUGACAUUCUUUUUACUAAAGGGGUCUUAUAAAGAGAUUGAAAGGACAGACUUUAGAUGUAAGAAAUAGUGGGGAAUGGGAAAUAAAAAGAACGUUAAGACAGGUAAAUGCAUUAAGGAGGCAAGUUACUCAAUAUUUCUCAAAGUGCUGUAAAUAUCUCCUGCUCAUGGACUAUGAACCCAAAUGACAUUUAGUUAAGAUGAACAGAGGUAAAAAGAACAUAGAGAGCUAAUAGCAAACUAUAUUAACCAUUGUGCAGUUUCUCAAGGGCUAGCUGGUGACCACAAGUUUGACAUUUAAUUUGAUUAAGUUACUUUCUGUUCUGCUUAGGUAUGGGACAAUGAGGGAACAAUUGCAGUUUUUAAGAAAUGUAUUCAUGAUGUUCAAUGAAAUGAAUCAGCUUAGAAAAAAUAUACUGUUUAACAAAAAUAACCUGUACCUCAUCAGAUAUUGCUAAGGCAACAUGUUCCACCCAAUGCCUCUUCGCUAUUGCUUAAAGAUAUAAAAAUAAAUCAGACCCUGAGACUUCUCAGAGGGAACCUGAACAUUGCUUGUAAAGGUUCUUUUCUCAUCGCCGGCCCAGGACAUCUCCCCUUCCUACCCUACAUCGACUGCAGCUGGUCUGCGGCAUGUGUGGACUGUGUGGAUAGAGGGUGUGGUAAUGUGGAAUGUGUGUAUUGUGAGUGUAUAAUGUGUGUCAAAUGUAUGUGCAGAAUGUGUGGUGAAUGUGUGUGUUGUGGUGUAUGGAAUGUUGUGUGUGGUAUGGUGUGAUAUGUGUAGCGUGUGUGGACUAUAUUUGCAGUGUGUUGUGUGUGUUGUGUAUUGUGUUGUAUGCAUGUUGUGUGUACUGUAUUGUGUGUGGAAUGUGUGUGGUGUGAUAUAUGUGGACUGUGUGCAGUGUGUUGUGUAUCGUGUUGUGCAUGUUGUGUGUGGAGCAUGGUGUGUGUGGACUGUGUGUGCUGCGGGUUGUGCAUGUUGUGCAUGUUGUGUUGGGUGUGUGUGGACUGUGUGCAGUGUGUUGUGUGCGUGUGGGCCCCGCUGUCUCCCGCCUCUGGCCCCUCUGCUUCUCCCUGCCCCUGAGCCCUGGAUGCGGUGGGCAGCGCCCCCUGGUGCUCGGUGUGGGCAGCGCUGUUCCAGGACACAGCCUGCUCCGGCUCCAGCCGGGACAGCGCCUGCCCCCUCCCAGGGAAACUGAGGCUUGGAAAGGCACGGCCAGCGCCCCUGCCACCCUGCUGUCCUGACUCCAGGCCUCACCACCUCGAGGCAAGGCCAGCCGGCCCUCGUUUUGACUGAUCACCCGUCUAGGACCCAGUCCCCAAAGGCGGCCACACUCAGGUCCCGGCGGUCAGGACUCCGGCCCAGGGCAGGCGGGCUCUGGUCCCAGCCUCCGGCUUCUGCUUCUCCACGGCCGGGGAGCCGGGAUGGCUGGGGACUCGGGGGCCCAGGCAGUCUCCAUAGGAGCAGAAGCCAGGGGGGGAGUGAAGUUGGAGGCAUUUGGGGGGGCCGACUCAGUCCCGCAAGCCUGUGUGCCAGCUUGGGGGGCUGAGGAGGAGGCUGGCUGGGCAGCACAUGAGACCCCAUUUCUCAGAAAAGCAAGUCUGGGGAGGUUGUGCCGUUCGGGUGUGCGGUUACUGUGUUGAUCUCUAGGCGAGACGUGAACUGUGCUGCGGACACCCGUGUGGACCCUGGGGCUCCCAGCAAGUGUGGGCACUGCUGAGGGGCCAGGAACCCCUCACCCCAAGGCCCUGCCUGCAUCUCCCAAGCUGCACCACCUGGGAGGCGCCAUGGCGCCCGAGAGCAGCUUAGGCGCGUCCGACCUCGUGCGUCUCCUCGUGGCCUUUCACACAUCCAGCAAAGCCCAGCCUGGGGCAGACGUGCGUCUCAGCUGGGUUCCUCCUGUGGCCACGGCAGAGACCACGCCCCCAUCCCCGAGCCCUGGGGACACUGCAGGCCCACACGUGGCCCUGCUCAGCUCCCUUGCCGAGGCCUCCAGGUGAGGCGCAGCAGGAGGCACCCAGUGGGGCAUCUGCUUGGGCGGAUGGUGCAGCACGGAGGCCCAGGCCGGCCUGGGAAGGACCUGUCCUGUGGGGCUCAUGGACCCCCACAUGUGGUGUCGUCGAGGUCACCUGUGUGCACCCCGCACCUCUCACACCUGUGUAUUGAUGAGCUGCUUCCUGAUGCUGCGAGGGCCUGAGAACCCCAGAGGACACGGGUCCCAUGAGGUCACACGCGGGUCAUGCAUGGUCACAGCAUCACGCCUGCUACAGAGGGCCACCGAGGCCGGAAAGGCAGAGACUGCAGCCAGCGGGAGGGCGGAGGCACGGCGCCCUGUCUGGGCCACCAUGGCCACAGGCAGGGCCCAUGUCCCCAACAUGCGCUUCCUGCCGGGGAGAGCCCGGCUUGGAGAGGCCAGCAGCGCGACCUCGGGGCUGCUUUGACCUUGGGCCUCUGGACUUCCUGGCCCAGGCCGUCCUCUCUUUGGGGAGCAGCUCUCUCCGAACUCCUGCCGUGGGAGCCCCGCUGGCCAAGGCUGGGCAGGCGAGUGUGUCCCUGGAAGACAGAACAGACAAGCCCAGAUCCUGGCAAAGUCACCAGCACCACGGUUGGCUCGGGCACCUCUGAGCCGCUCUUCGGAGCAGCCGGGCUGACCCUCCAGUGCGCCGUGGGCGGUCACCUGCCACCCGCCUCGGGCUCUGUGCGGCUGAGCUUCAGCGAAGGCUGAACCGUCAACCUCGCCCUGAAGGCCGGCGCUGUCACCUGGGCUCAGGGUUGCGGGAGCCCGGCCUCUGGAGCCAGGGCAGGAGCAAGUCCCUCCCACCUCGCCGGGGUGGUGCGUGCGGCUUUGCUUUCUGCUGCCUUUCGUCAGGCUUGUGUUUCAUGAGAAGAAACGGCGGUCGGGAAAUCCCUGGCUUUCUCGUGGGGACACAGCUCCCCGUGUGGUUGGGACGCGGAAUUGGGAACCGCGUGGUGUCUGGGCCCUCUUCUUCCAGCCCGCUGGGUUUGCCUCUUCCCAGGAGUCAGAAGCAGCGCUGCCGAGUACGGAGUUGCAGCUCCACGUCAGUGGUUUCCUUCUUUUUUUUUUUUCUUUUGGUACCGGGGAUCGAACUCGGGUCCUUGCGCUUGCGCAGCAGGCGGUGAAACCACUGAGCUAAAUUCCCGGCCCCUGGAUCCUUCUUUUACGGAGAGAGGAGUGUGUGCGCAUGCGUGCUGCCAGCACCCAUCCCUUAAAACAGCGGAAGCAGGUUUAGCUCAUUUCCCUCUAAGAUCACUGCAGCUCUGACUCAGACGGCGCAUACUUCAUGGAAAUCUUCCUCCAUAAAAGCAAAGUGCAGUCCACGAGGAGGGGCUGGCGUGAGACUCCCAGGCGCCUGCGGACCUGGGAGCCAAGCUUCGCCCGCUGCCGCUGCGAGUAAACGCGCCGCGCAGCCCCGCCCAGUGAACCGUCAGGCCGCUCUGGAGACAGGGCUCAUCCUGCGUGCCUGGCCGCUUCUUCCUCACUUGGGCCUGUCUGUGAGCGCAGCCCCGGUCCAAGCCUGCCCCUGCGGGUUUUGGGGCUCCCUCCCCACCCGCGGUUCCUCACCCGAAGCCCCGUGUCUCCCUGCUGGGCCUCACCUCUGAGGUUCUUCCAUCUCCGAACUGAACGCUGUCCCCACUGCUGCCUCCCUCCUGAACCUCGCCAGCCUGCUGGUCAGCGCGGGGCACCCUUGCGCCCCAGCCUGAGUCCUUUCUCCACUGCUGCCCUGUGGCUUCCUCCCGUGUCCUGGGGUUGUGCUGAUCCCAGCGGGCAUCUCUCGGGCCUUACCUUGUGCGACUUCCACGCUGCCCUCCACAGUGACCAUCCAUCUGUCCACCCAUCCGUCCAUCCGUCCACCUGUCUGUCCACUCACUUGCCCACCACCUGGUGGUUCCACGUGUCUUGUUGGGGUCACGCUUCCUGCCUCCUGUCCUGUGCCCCCCUGUGACUCCCAGGUCUCUCCACAGCACCUCCUUCAGCUCUGCUUCCUGCUCACAGGGGUUAACCCCCCAGACAGACCCACAGCUGGCCUGAUUCCAAGUCCAGAGUGCCUGCCCUGGCCUCUCGGGAGGAGUGGCAGGGGCCCAAGGUCCAUUUUGGGGCUGCAGCCUGGGCAAGGCUGGGGGAAGCUGUCUGCGGCCAGCGCCCCCCACCAGCUCUGGCCGCUGUUUGCCCCUAAGCCUGAGCACCGCUGGGCUCCAGCACCCUCUUUACAGAGUUCGCAGGUGCUCAUGGGCCCAGCACACAGAGACUGCUGGGACUUUGCAGACCUGGGCUUUGCAUGGCCUGCAGGCUUGGCCCAAGAACACAGCUGCUGCCCAGGUGGGCGCUGGGAGCAAAUUAGCUGGCUAGUCAUUGCAGAAACCAUGAAUGUGGCCUCAAGUUCGAGGCCCUGAGGGCCACUUGAGCAGCAGACUGCAGACAGCACCCGGGAAAGAGCACACACAGGCUCCACCCCAGAGCACCUGCUUCUUGCGGGGUGGCCAUGAGAUGCGGCAGUGAUCACUGGGUCUGAUCACCUCCCGUGGGCGAGCAGCCUCCUCAGGAGGUGCUGGGCAACAGCCAGGAAAAGAAACCUGAUUUCCUUGGGCUGGGUCCCCACGCUUCAGGAAUAAAGCCACUCUGUCAGAGCAGGCUGGACCUGGUGCCCAAGGGGACCACAGGAGGCUUAGCAAGUUCUUUCCAUGAAAUUUUCUGUGAAAUGAAAAUGUUUCAUUUCUUAAAAGCAUGAUCUAAAUGGAAGUUAUUAUGGCCACUGAGAAAUAAAAUGUUUAAUUGCUAAGUGAAACACAUUAAAAUUCCUUUAAUCUCAAGAAAAAUAAAAUCAAGCAAAACUCUG
ensembl:lncRNA